rnacentral:rRNA from 1 species
CUCUCGGCAAUGGAUAUCUCGGCUCUUGCAUCGAUGAAGAACGUAGUGAAAUGCGAUACUUGGUGUGAAUUGCAGAAUCUCGUGAACCAUUGAGUCUUUGAACGCAAGUUGUGCUCGAGGCCUUGUGGUCGAGGGCACGCCUGCUUGGGCGUCAUGGC